rnacentral:lncRNA from 1 species
CUGGGAUCCAUAACUGAGUAUCAGAGGUUGAACCUGUCUGGUCAGAGCAGAGUCUUUUUUAUAACCCUACAAGUGGCCUGCGGUGCUGCUUGCUGCUCUCGCCUGUGAAUUUCACUAGGGUUGGAGGAUGACUGGGAAACUCAGGAAAUAUUGUUCAUUCUCUAAAUCCACAGUAUUUAUAAAAGCACAGCUGGAAGCAACCAGAAAAGCUGCUAAUGAAUCCCAUGUAGUUUAUUUUCUUUCACAGGAGAAAAAAAUCUGAGAAGAUGACAUGAACGUACCCAUAUGUGCAAUGACUGAGGAUUUGGGGUGCUAUCUCAUACUCAAAAAAUUGAAAUGCUUCAAAGAGGAACAACAUUUUCAGAUGACAGAAAUGAAACUUUCUGGCUGCACAGAACCAACCACCAAGAAACCUGAUUUCUGCUCCCUGAAGAUUUUCAAAGGGUGGGUAGAUUGUCCUGGCACACAACAAGAAACGUUUCCAAAAUCUCCCAGUCCUUCAGCUAACAGGAAACAUCUUCCCACUCACUUCUUGUCAACGGAGUAUUUCAUACGGCGCUUUAAAAACAUUGACAGAUUUCUUCCCCCCGUCGAAGGAAAGCAGGAAUGA